ACCAGAGAACCACAGACCGUCCCUAACAUCCCCGGUGCGAGGCCCGCGGGCUGUGGAAUCUCGCAAGUCACCUGGCCCCAGCAGGGAGGCCAGCUGAGAGGCUUAUUUUAUUUUAUUUUAUUUUUUGAAGUAAAGGCUGAAUCUCGGCUUCAGGGCUUUUGCCAACGUCUCUACUGACAGGAACCAGCAAACUUCAGGACCCAAAUGAGCGUCUUAAUUUAUUGAUGCCAAACAGAAAGCUUCACAUGUGAGAUAAAUGCACUCAAAUUCUCCUCACAAGUAGCUCUUUGGAGCUUCAAAUGUGAAAUGGAUCAUUCCUCAACCUGUAAUAGACCCUUCUGUGAAGCUCUUCAAUCAAACCUGGGAAUACAAGGUCUUUUCCUCAGCAGAGGAUGGCUGUCAAUCAAUGUGUGACCUUACAUGCUGUAUGCGUUUUGUAGCAUCCUAAACAGAAGGAUAUUGAAGGGAGCUGAUUCUGCUUUGAUCCUUGCGCUUGUUGUCAAAGCGCUUGGGAUUGAAGAGACUGUUGGCUACAGUUGACUGUGACAAUUAGGAGAUGAUCAGAGCCCUAGAGUGGAGCACUUAAAGGGUUUGAAUUUAAAACACUCUUGGAGAAUUAAUCAUAUAAAAAUUCUGUUAACAGCACAUUCUCUUUUUAGAGAGGUAAUGUGUGAAUGAAUGAAAAGGCAGAGAUUAUUUGCCAUUCUAAGUGGAGGUUGUCAGAACAUCUCUACUCCACUAAAAUUGUUGGGGAAGGGCAAACCAAGACUUAUCAUUUCAAGUAUUACAGUGAUUUCAGCCUAAUAUUAUGGAGACUUCAGAGACAGUGGAUGAAGAGUUUGACUACCUGCAUUGAUCAGCCUCUGAUGAGUAUUUGAUAUUUAUUGAAAGCCUACUGUGGACCAGCUACUGUGCCUGGCUGCUACCUUCACAGAGCUUCAACUCUAGAGAAGGAGACAAAGAGAAAGCAAUCCUAUCCAUAGAUAAAAAAGCAAGCAAAUGCAGUGACAAAGAUCAAUCUUGAUGAAUGAAGAGUAAAUUCUCUUAAUAUUAACAUACUUUGCUUUUUUUGAGCAGAGGGAUAGAAAAACAGGAGAGAGGAUGAUGAAACAAGUUUAACUCAACCGAGAAAAGAAGAAUGUGGAUUGGAGACAAGAACUUGUGCAGUUAAAUAACUCACUCUGUGGAAUAGAACAUAGUUGCUGACUAGCAACUGGAGAGGCAGACUGUCAGCUAGAAGGAUUGACCAAAUUAUUCACAAAUGCUGGAAGGCUCAGAAGAAGAAGAAAGGAAAGAAAGGAGGGAAGAAAUGAAAGAUGAAAAGGAGAAAAAAGAAAGAGAAAAAUGAACAAAGGAGAACUAUAAUAGACUAUAUUAAGAGUUUUGAUACCAGCUCAUCACAAGGGAAAAAUAAUAUUCUUUAUGCAAGGUUGUGUGAUUUAUAUCUGUAAUUAUUUGAGCAUGGGAUAACCUAGGAACAAAGAAUAUAAUAAAAUUAUGUUUAAUAGAAACAGUAGGAAAUCCUUUCUAACUUACGUGAUACUUUGUGAAGAAAGAUAUAGAGAUUCCAUGUUUAUCUUUUAAUCUAGUUUUUAUCCCUAUUUUAGCAUAUUGUGUUUAGUUUUUUUUUUUUAAAUCAAGCUACAAUCAACCCUUGAUUUAGUGUCAAAUCCAUAUUCUUUCCCUUGAUUUCUCAUUAGAUUCUGUCCUUGUCAUAUCUCAAAGCCAAUCAAGAUCUACUUGUUCAUGGAAGGUUUCCUUUCUUAUAUGAAAUGAGAUACAAUACUUUUCAUAACCCUUUAGAGACAUGAAUGUUUUUUCUUAUUUUUUAUGGUCAUGACCAUAGUCUUUCUUAUUCUGUGUGAAAGCAGAGUGUCUCCAUAUUUACAAAAUGUGUACAAAACAUUCAGCAUGGUGUGCUGCAUACAUGCUUUGUCCAAUAAAUAUUAAUUGAUGUUUGAUUAGAGAGUACAUGUCACUAAUGAGAACCUCCCGCCUACUCCAGGUCUUCAGAGGCCUGAAGAUUCUUGUGAGCUGGGAGGAUGCCCUGUUGUGGCUAUUCCUAUGUUUAUGUUAAAUGAAAAGAUUGUUUUCCUUUUUAAAAGUAGCAAUGCUGGUGAAUUUAGCAUGAUGUAUGCAUUGCUGAUAUGGAGUAUUCAAGAGUUUCAUAAUUCAGAAAAUUAAAAAAUUAAAAACAUACUGUAUACUACAUAUAUACAGUGUAUAUGGUAUACGUAUAUAUAAAAAUACAGUCUGUAUUAUAUAUAUGCAAACACAUAUAUUUAAUGUAGUAUUUAGGCCUACUGUACUAUCUGGAAUUUUAAAAUAAGAAAAGAUAUUCUACUUUACAGGGGAUAAAUCUAUUUGGGUAGAGGGAUUGAAUAACCCUUAAAAUAGUAUACUUUAUGUUCACUGUUCAUUCAUCAAUAAAUAUUCCUAAAAUACCUGUCAAACACAAAGAUGAAGAAAGCUGCAUUAGAUUCUCAGAGAGCUUUUAAUCUGGUGGGUAAAAGGCAACUACAUUACAAUGAACACAGUUAUUUUCACAAGAGAGCUGAAGAAUGCUGAAAUAAAAAUGACAAAAAAAUA